GGGGAAUAUUGGACAAUGGGGGCAACCCUGAUCCAGCAAUGCCGCGUGUGUGAAGAAGGUCUUCGGAUUGUAAAGCACUUUCGACGGGGACGAUGAUGACGGUACCCGUAGAAGAAGCCCCGGCUAACUUCGUGCCAGCAGCCGCGGUAAUACGAAGGGGGCUAGCGUUGCUCGGAAUGACUGGGCGUAAAGGGCGUGUAGGCGGUUUACACAGUCAGAUGUGAAAUCCCCGGGCUUAACCUGGGAGCUGCAUUUGAUACGUGUAGACUAGAGUGUGAGAGAGGGUUGUGGAAUUCCCAGUGUAGAGGUGAAAUUCGUAGAUAUCGGGAAGAACACCGGUGGCGAAGGCGGCAACCUGGCUCAUGACUGACGCUGAGGCGCGAAAGCGUGGGGAGCAAACAGGAUUAGAUACCCUGGUAGUCCACGCUGUAAACGAUGUGUGCUAGAUGUUGGGUAACUUUGUUAUUCAGUGUCGCAGUUAACGCGUUAAAGC
rnacentral:rRNA from 1 species